GAUGAAGAACGCAGCGAAAUGCGAUACGUAGUGUGAAUUGCAGAAUUCAGUGAAUCAUCGAAUCUUUGAACGCACAUUGCGCCCUUUGGUAUUCCAAAGGGCAUGCCUGUUCGAGCGUCAUUUGUACCCUCAAGCUUUGCUUGGUGUUGGGCGUUUUUGUCUUUGGCCCGCCAAAGACUCGCCUUAAAAUGAUUGGCAGCCGGCCUACUGGUUUCGCAGCGCAGCACAUUUUUGCGCUUGCAAUCAGCAAAAGAGGACGGCAAUCCAUCAAGACUCCUUCUCACGUUUGACCUCGGAUCAGGUAGGGAUACCCGCUGAACUUAAGCAUAUCAAUAAGCGGAGGA
rnacentral:misc_RNA from 1 species